CGUAAAGCAUUAUCCACCGUCGUGAAAUGUAGGCUCAACUUGCAACCGGGGCCUUUUCCCUGCCUUGGCCGGUUGGGAAAUGGGGUCGCCUAGCAGCUGUGGGGCGCUAUCAUUUACUCUGGACCAGGUGGCGGGAUCUAGGGUUUUGCUGUCACCGCGCUAGGGAGCGGUCAGGCUGGGCGGCGGGGCCAGGCUCGGGGGUUGCAGUAAAUGAGACACCGCUGCUGGUUGCCAGACUUGGUGUAGGUAGGUGGAUUUUGGUGAGCGGGAGCAGCGAGUUCCUUCCCAUGCAGGUUCCUUAAGCCUCAGGGUCCGGUGCAACAGUCCAGUUUCCCGACCCCUUAGUCUUUGGUCUGCAGUCCUUUUGCCUUCUUCUAGCUUCACCUGUGAUUUCCUCGGCCCAACUGCACUCAUUUCAAUCGAAGGUAAAGCACAGUGAAAUUAUUCAAGAUGGCCCCUAAUAUAAACUGGAAAGACAUCAUGAAAGUUGACCCAGAUGACCUUCCUCGUCAAGAAGAAUUGGCAGAUAAUUUAUUGAUUUCUUUAUCUAAGGUGGAAGUAAAUGAGCUAAAAAAUGAAAGUCAAGAAAAUGUGAUACACGUUUUCAGAAUUAGUCACUAAUGAAGGUUUGUAUGCAGUAGGUUUUAACAAUAGCUUUGACUAUU